GGUCCAACCAAUUCACAAUCGCUAUAAGAUUACGUUUCAUCGAUGUAAUUUUACAUCAAUGAAAACAGUUGGGCGGUAGCUACAUGCUAGCCCACUCCCCUGUGCCUUUUCCAAUCAAAGGCGAGCACAGUUACAAAAUAAAAUUAUAUGCGAGCAGUUCUCACUCGACGGCAACGUUCCUCUCUCUCUCCCCCGGCCCCCCCUCCUAUCUCGCGAUUGCGGAGUCGGCAGCAGCGACGACACCGGAGGAACGACCCGGAGGUAACGGCUACCUCUCUCGCCCGUGGAGUGCUUCCCUUUCCCGCUCUCAUGCGGCAGCGACCCGGAGGCGAUGUCGUCGGUGCAACGAUCUGGCGCGAGCUCGGCGAUGUCAACGGCCUUCUCCGGCGUCCUCUCCACCUUCGGCGGUCUUCUCACCGGGGAGGAGGAUGAAGAUCAAGAAAGGAAAGGAAAGAAAAUCAGGAGCUUGCCUACUACCUACCAGGAAGCGGGUGAUGAAGGUGAUGGUGGAGACACGCUCCCAUCGGUGGAUUAAAUUCAAGGAGGUGGAGAUCAUGGAGGAUGAGAAGAAGGCUAUGUGGAUUCAGUCUUCGAUUGAGCUGAGAUUAAUUUUUGUUUGUUGUAGGACAUGUGAAUCCCCUCUGUGAUUUAGCUUUUGUGUAAAAUUCACGAAUUUGCAUCCUUUUAGCUAUAAAUGUUGCUCCUGAUUUAACUGAAUGUUAGUAAUAAUGUACAUAAAGAAUUAGCCUGUAUCUAGCUGACAAUGCCAAUUAUCUUGAAAUUCGUUAAUCAAUUUUUGCAUAAACUUAUGAGGUAAUUUCUUGAAUUAAAGAUGGUUCACUUUACGAGGAAUUUUGUUUUAUAGUAUUCUUGAGAUAAAUUUCGAAGUGAUGAUGCUAACUUUAUGUUGAAUGUAUUAGGUAAAUGAAGAAUCAGAAUUCUGCCAUCAAAUUUAGGAGUCGAACAAGAUGUUUGCAAGGGACUUGGAGAUGAGGGAACACUACAGAAAAGAAAAUGGCAAUGUUUGUACCCACGGUAAGACACAUAGGCAUAUAUACUCACCAUAAGCUGGAUGAAAGAAUACAUUUUACCAUUUAAACAUGCCAGUCGUCCUCACCAAUGGUGUUCCGUGACUCCGAGUUCGCCUUGAUGUACCCAGGUACCGCUCAGCCCAUGAAGAAUCUACUUAUUGCUAAUAUGAUUAAGGCUUGUGAUUAAUCCGUUUUCCUGAAUUUGUUCAGAGGGCAAAUUAUCAAAGUUGCUAGAUGCCAAAUUCGGUCUGUUUUCAUUGCACGUAAAAAUUGUUUCUUCCAUUAGCAAAUAUUUCAAUUUUAUGUCUCUGUUUUCUUCUUCAAUCUGCAAGGAACUCAAAGAUAGUUAUACAUUUACUAACGUGCAUUCUAGUCCAUAAAUUGUUUGGGCAAUGCACACAAAAAGAUGUACAUGUUUGGGGGUACAAACUUUAGUUUCUUUUGAGGCUUAUGAAUUAUGUUGAAUUUUGUAGUUAACAAAUAGCUUGCUUUCUCUACGCAAAAGAAAAGGAAGUUGCUAGUUGUACUAGCAACAUGUAUCGAGAUCUUCCCGCAAUGCUAGGAUUUUGAGUUUUCCCAUUUAAAUUUAGGGUGCAAUUCUUGCUUCUGGUCAUCAUUAGAAUUACUUAGUGUUAAUUUCUUUUUCACCAGCAAAUCCCUAUGGUAAUUUUCCGUUAAUCAUAAACUAGAUGGUACAAACAAACAAGGAGCAAAGACUCAAUAAGGUUACACCAGGAGCCACGAAAACUUAAUUAAAAACUAGAGCACUAAAGCUGGUCCAGUGAGGAGCUCGGUGCCUAUAGAAACCAAAAGAGAAGGGCAAGACAGAGACCAAUUACUUAGUGUUAAUAGUCUUAUCUUGUGUGUACAUCAUGCUAUUCUCUGUUCAGCUUAAUGCAUGUCCAAUAUAAUUAUUCAGUAGGCUAUAUGAGUAAUUUAAUUUUCUUGUUUUGUGCACUUUGGAGCAACUCGUGGUUACUAGCAGUUUCGAGUUAAGAAUUAUUUCAAUUGCAAUGAGGUACAUAGUGACCCUCUUUCUGGCUGUAUAUCUUCGUUGUUUUGGUUGAACUGGCAUAAACCUAAUUCGUAACGUUGAUGUGUUUCCUUUUGCUUUUCCUUUCGCUAGGAAGCCAUGACAUUUACUUGGUGCCAAUCAUUAAUUAAUCAAUUUCAAUGUCCCCAUAAUAGAGGAUUGGUAUUGAUUUGCAUUGGCUUAACUACCGAGGACAAGUGUUUCCCUUUCACCCUAAUAGUGGUUGAUUUGCUCCUUUGAAGGAGGCCUACAUUAUGCUAAAUGUCUAUAUGAGCAAGAGAAGUAGUCGCAAUCAGUUAGCAUUUUUUAUUCUUAUGCCAUAUCUUCAGAAAUUCUUAACAUGGAAUACAUCAUAUAUUUAUCUGUAUGUAGCUAAUGCUUCUUUGCUUAAAUCUUAUGUUUGUUAAAUGUUAGCAGGCAGAAUCAUUAACUACAUACAGAUAAAUGUACGAUGUAUUCCAUGUUAGGAUUUUCUUAAGCUUGAUUGCCACUACUUCUUAAGCUCAUAUGUGAUAAUGUGAUCAUGCAAUUGUCUUGAGUUUAACUGAAUCUUGUUAUCAAUUGUCAUGUCCGACACAUUUGUCUUGUACAGGAGUGCAUUUCUGUAUGUGAUCAGAUUUUCUUAGGCUUUAUUGUUGACGGUCAUGUCUGUUUGUAGUUGUCAUGGCACCAAAUAUUUUUAGAAUAUUCUGCAUUGAUGAUUUUUAUCAUUAAUCCAAUGCUACAUAAAUUGUUUAUUGUUUUCAGGAAUGUUUCCGCUGGUUUCGGCGCUCAUCACUGUUGAGUCUCUUUUCGUGACCCAGAGUCUAUUGCCAGGCCAGGGCCAUCUUCUCUGCAAGUUAUUUCAAGUACUUACUGUAAUUGAAAUGACGGUUAUAUGUGGUUUCGUGGCUGCCACUUGUGAAUGCAUUUGCCCGGAUGUACUCUGUUCUUGAGUCCAUGGCAUCGAGUUCUUAUGCCUGCCGAUUGGAAA